GUUCGGAAACGGACGCUAAUACCGCAUACGUCCUACGGGAGAAAGCAGGGGACCUUCGGGCCUUGCGCUAUCAGAUGAGCCUAGGUCGGAUUAGCUAGUUGGUGGGGUAAUGGCUCACCAAGGCGACGAUCCGUAACUGGUCUGAGAGGAUGAUCAGUCACACUGGAACUGAGACACGGUCCAGACUCCUACGGGAGGCAGCAGUGGGGAAUAUUGGACAAUGGGCGAAAGCCUGAUCCAGCCAUGCCGCGUGUGUGAAGAAGGUCUUCGGAUUGUAAAGCACUUUAAGUUGGGAGGAAGGGCAGUAAAUUAAUACUUUGCUGUUUUGACGUUACCGACAGAAUAAGCACCGGCUAACUCUGUGCCAGCAGCCGCGGUAAU
rnacentral:rRNA from 3 species